UUCGUAGGCGGUGCGGCAAGUCGGGAGUGAAAUCUCUGGGCUUAACCCAGAGGCUGCUUCCGAAACUGCUGUGCUAGAGUGCGGGAGAGGCGAGUGGAAUUGCAGGUGUAGCGGUGAAAUGCGUAGAUAUCUGCAGGAACACCCGUGGCGAAGGCGGCUCGCUGGACCGCAACUGACGCUGAGGAACGAAAGCUAGGGGAGCAAACAGGAUUAGAUACCCUGGUAGUCCUAGCCCUAAACCAUCAGGACUUGGGGUGCAUCCCGUUCGGGGUGCGUCCCGUAGCUAACGCGUUAAGUCCUGCGCCUGGGGAGUACGGUCGCAAGGCUGAA
rnacentral:rRNA from 1 species